rnacentral:rRNA from 1 species
GUGUGGAGCCGUAGCGAAAGCGAGUUUUAACUGAGCGUUCAGUUACUUGACGUAGACCCGAAACCGGGCGACCUACCCAUGAGCAGGAUGAAGCGAAAGUAAAAUUUCGUGGAGGUCCGAACCCACGAGCGUUGAAAAGCUCGGGGAUGACUUGUGGGUAGCGGUGAAAUUCCAAUCGAGCCCGGAGAUAGCUGGUUCUCCCCGAAAGAGCUUUAGGGCUAGCCUCAAGGUGAGAGAUACGGAGGUAGAGCACUGAAUGUCCUAGGGGGUAUUGCACCUACCGAAGACUAUCAAACUCCGAAUGCCGUCAUCUUAUACUUGGGAGUCAGACUGUGGGUGAUAAGAUUCAUAGUCGAAAGGGCAA